AGUGAACAGUCAUCACUUUGUAACUCACCAACACAAUUAGCAGCCCAUCUCUUCUCAUAUGUUGCAGUGAUUGCAGUGCAGUCUUCGUGCCCUGGGCAGGGCUGUUGCAUGUUGGCAACUGAGGCUGGUUCAGUAUUUGUACCAAGAAGCAUACCAUGCAUACCCUCUGGUGUAAGACUGGUUCCCAGGUGACGGACAGCCAUGACUACAUUCAGCUGUGCAGCUCUUCAUUCCCUGCCAGACCUUCUCAGUCCUCUUUGUAAAGUUUUUCUCUGUGACUGGUUAUAGUGGCACUUCUUACAAUGGAUGGAAAGGAUCCAUGCCAGGCCUCGUUUUUCCUCCCCAUGCCGAUACCAGUCCAGUAGACCAUCACAGUCUGGAAACUUAUGUGAGAGAAAGACCUACCUGCCUCUAGCAGAGAGUGGUAGUAGGAUGUACUUUGUCAUCAGUGACUUGGCUAAAAUCAACAACAUGUACAGAUUCAGUCUAGCUGCCUUCCUGAGAAUCUUCCAGAAAGCUCUUAAGAC